rnacentral:lncRNA from 15 species
GGAAGUUAAUUAGUGUGUGAGACUGUGAUACAAUAACAUCUUAAAAUGCACCAAGCCCCAGAUUUCUAUGUGGUCUGUCUGAAUGCUGACAGCUUUAAUUGGUUUGUCAAUUACCAAGUACCAUAACUAUUUUGAAUAACAUGUAGAUUUAUUUUAUAGUCCCCUCUCCAUGAGAAGUGUGUAAAGAUUACUGGUUGCUGAAACCCGAUUGUUUGUCUUUCUAGAUUUCAUCAUGUGAGGCAGUGAACGUGAGCUACAGCGAUUUGGAUGUGCCACUGUUUACAUCCGAGAACUUUGCACCAGUGUUCACCUCAUUCAUACUUCAAAUCACAAAAGAGUAAGUCAGAGUCACAUGUUAAACACUAGCAGAAAUUAUAUAUAUUCGUACAUAUAUGUAUACACACACUGUUUAAAUGUUUGUUUUUCUAACCAUUCCUAUUCUUCUCUUCCAGCCAGUGGAUGUUGGUGGGAGCUGGCAAAAUGGAUGUAGACAUGAUAGUUCUACUAUCUGACAUGUGCCGUGAGAUCGUAGAGUCGCUCAGCUUCUUGGUCUUGCAAUCUGUGGCACCUCAGAUUGAAAGCGGGAUGUGUGACCAGACUGCCCAGGACGAUGACACUUCCAUCACAAGUUGCUGGAUCUGCAUUCUGGGACAGCGUCGAUUCCAACCAGGUUUCCUGUCUGACGCGAAGCAGGGUUAGAGAAUAUCUGGAAUUCUCCAUCUUCAUCAUCUUCCUGAAGAUUCAUGCCUGGAGCAGAUAAGAUCUAAGCUGCGCGCAGAAAACAUACAAACAAUCAUACACACAUUCUACCCG